CAAGAGUUUGAUCCUGGCUCAUGAUGAACGCUGGCGGCGUGCUUAACACAUGCAAGNNNNNNGGAGUGCUCAUGACGGAGGAUUCGUCCAACGGAUUGANNNNCUUAGUGGCGGACGGGUGAGUAACGCGUGAGGAACCUGCCUCGGAGUGGGGAAUAACAGCCCGAAAGGGUUGCUAAUACCGCAUGAUGCAGUUGGGCCGCAUGGCUCUGACUGCCAAAGAUUUAUCGCUCUGAGAUGGCCUCGCGUCUGAUUAGCUGGUUGGCGGGGUAACGGCCCACCAAGGCGACGAUCAGUAGCCGGACUGAGAGGUUGAACGGCCACAUUGGGACUGAGAUACGGCCCAGACUCCUACGGGAGGCAGCAGUCGGGAAUAUUGCGCAAUGGAGGAAACUCUGACGCAGUGACGCCGCGUGCAGGAAGAAGGUUUUCGGAUUGUAAACUGCUUUAGACAGGGAAGAGAAAGGACAGUACCUGUAGAAUAAGCUCCGGCUAACUACGUGCCAGCAGCCGCGGUAAGAAUGGCG
rnacentral:rRNA from 1 species